rnacentral:misc_RNA from 1 species
AAAAAGAGCACUAAGGAGUGAUUCUGCACUUCACUUUUGAUUGGUUUCUUGUGUGUAUUUAUCAAAAAACUGUUUUAUUUUCUCUGUUUUUCUACUCCUUCACGUCCUGCAGCCACCACAAUUCCACAAAGCUACCCCUUUUCUCUCCGUCUCCCCGUUGCUUUCCUCUCUCGUUCUUCUACAGGAAGCAAGAGCACUGGACAUGAGAACAGAAGCGAAAACGUUUCGACAGUGACGACGAAAACAGAGAGAAACGUUCUCUGGACUAAUUGUCAAUGAGGCGGGGACCUGCGGUGCCUCUACGCGCUGGCGAUGGCCGUCACGCGCCACCGCCUCCAUUGCCGGAUGUUUACAACAUAAUCCCCAUCCAUGACCUUCUAACUGAACAUCCCUCCAUUCGGUAUCCCGAGGUUCGAGCUGCCGCCGCCGCCCUACGAGAUAUCAGUAACCUGCCGAGGCUGCCGUUUGUUACUCGGGACCCUCACAUGGACUUGAUGGACUGGUUGGGGGUGCUCUUCGGGUUUCAAAGAGACAACGUGCGGAACCAGAGGGAGCACCUGGUGCUCCACCUAGCCAACUCACAAAUGCGGCUGCAACCGCCUCCCACGAUUCCCGACGAACUUGACCAGAAGGUUCUUCGCCGUUUUCGGGGCAAGUUAUUGAGUAACUACACCUCAUGGUGCUCUUACCUGGGCCGGAAAUCCCAAGUAGCUCUUUCUAAGCGCAACAAUAACAGCAAUGAGCUCCGGCGUGAGCUGUUGUACGUUGCCCUUUACCUUCUAAUAUGGGGGGAAUCAGGUAAUCUCCGGUUCAUGCCCGAGUGUAUAUGCUAUAUAUAUCACCAUAUGGCCAUGGAACUAAACCAAGUUCUUGACGAAUGGACUGACCCCAACACUGGUAGGCCAUUUUUGCCUUCAAUAUAUGGUGAUUGUGCAUUUUUGAAGUCCAUUGUUAUGCCUUUUUAUAAAACGAUAAAGACUGAAGUUGAUAGUAGCAAUAAUGGGACUAAACCGCACUCGGCUUGGAGGAAUUAUGAUGAUCUAAAUGAGUUCUUUUGGAGCAGGAGGUGUUUUAGGAAGCUGUCAUGGCCUAUUAAUUUUGGGAGUAAUUAUUUUGAUACGGUUGUGAAGAGUAAUAGAAUUGGCAAGACUGGAUUUGUGGAGCAGAGGUCGUUUUGGAAUGUGUAUAGAAGCUUUGAUAAGCUCUGGGUUUUGCUGAUUUUAUUUUUGCAGGCUAGUUUUAUCGUUGCUUGGGAGGGUACCGAAUAUCCGUGGCAGGCAUUAGAGAGGCGUGACCUGCAGGUUGAGUUGUUGACUUGUUUCAUCACAUGGGGUGGUCUUAGAUUUCUACAAUCCAUUCUUGAUGCGGGGACUCAGUAUAGCUUGGUUUCUAGGGACACAAUGUUGCUGGGUUUGAGGAUGGUGUUAAAAAGUGUGGUUGCUUUGACAUGGACUAUUGUGUUUGGGGUGUUCUAUGCGAGGAUUUGGAGUGCGAAGAAUUCUGCUGGGUUUUGGUCUGAUGAGGCAAAUAGUAGAAUUGUAACAUUUCUUGAGGCUGUCUUUGUGUUUGUAAUCCCUGAGCUGUUGGCUUUGCUGUUCUUUGUACUUCCUUGGAUUAGGAAUGCACUUGAGGAAUUGGACUGGAGAAUCUUGUAUGUGUCGACAUGGUGGUUUCAUACACGGAUUUUUGUGGGGCGUGGACUUAGGGAAGGGCUUGUGAACAAUGUCAAGUAUACAUUGUUUUGGAUUGCAGUAUUGGCUUCAAAAUUUACAUUCAGUUAUUUCCUUCAAAUCAAGCCACUGGUUGCCCCGACAAGGGCCCUUUUGAAUACGAAUGUCAAAUACAAUUGGCAUCAAUUUUUUGGCAGUAGUAACAGAAUUGCAGUUGCGUUGAUCUGGAUACCUGUUGUUCUAAUAUAUUUUAUGGAUUUGCAAAUCUGGUAUUCUAUUUUCUCUUCCUUUGUUGGUGCAACCAUUGGGCUGUUUUCGCACUUGGGUGAAAUUAGGAACACUGAACAGCUUCGGCUUAGGUUUCAGUUCUUUGCCAGCGCUUUGCAGUUUAAUCUCGUGCCCGAGGAGCCAUUGCUAAGUCCUAAGAUGACCUUGGUGAAGAAGCUCCGUGAUGCAAUCCACAGAUUUAGACUAAGAUAUGGGCUUGGUCAACCAUACAAAAAGAUCGAAUCAAGCCAAGUGGAGGCAACCACAUUUGCCUUGAUAUGGAAUGAGAUCAUCACAACUUUCCGGGAAGAAGAUAUCAUCAGUGAUCAAGAGCAUGAACUUUUAGAAUUGCCACCUAAUUAUUGGAACAUUAGGGUUAUUCGAUGGCCAUGUGUUUUACUAUGCAAUGAGCUAUUGCUUGCUCUCAAGCAGGCACAAGAGCUCGCAGAUGCACCUGACAGGUGGAUUUGGUUGAAAAUAAGCAAGAGCGAGUAUAGGCGGUGUGCUGUAAUUGAAGCAUAUGAUAGCAUAAAGUAUUUAGUUCUUACAGUUGUCAAAUAUCACACAGAAGAACAUUCUAUUGCUGAAAGAAUUUUCGAUGAAAUAGACAACAAUAUUCAGUUUGAAAAGGUUACUGAGGCUUACAAUCUGAAACAACUAGAAUCUGUUCAUUCCAAGUUGAUAUCAUUUGUUGAGGUUCUGAUGGGACCAAAGAAGGAUCUAAGUAAGGCAGUGAAUAUAUUGCAGGCAUUGUAUGAGUUUUAUGUUCGAGACUUUCCAGGGGGAAAAAGGGCAAUUGAGCAAUUGAGGCAGAAAGGUCUAGCCCCCCAUAGUGCAUCCACUGAUGAAGGGUUACUCUUUGAGAAUGCUAUUGAGUUUCCAGAUGCUGGAGAUGAGUUAUUCAACAGGCAUGUACGGCGUUUGUACACAAUUCUUAACUCCAGAGAUUCCAUGCACAAUGUCCCAAAGAAUAUUGAGGCAAGACGGCGUAUUGCUUUUUUUAGCAAUUCCCUCUUCAUGAACAUGCCUCGUGCACCUGUUGUUGAGAAAAUGAUGGCUUUCAGUGUCUUGACCCCUUAUUAUGAAGAAGAAGUGUGUUUUCCUAAAGAAACGCUUCGACGGCAGAAUGAAGAUGGAAUUUCUACCAUUUUUUAUCUGCAGAAGAUCUAUGAAGAUGAGUGGAAUAAUUUCAUAGAGAGAAUGUAUAGAGAGGGAAUGAAAGAUGAUGAUGAUAUAUGGGAAAAAAAGUCAAGGGAUCUUCGUCUUUGGGCCUCAUACAGAGGCCAGACAUUAGCCCGCACUGUGAGAGGAAUGAUGUAUUACUACAGAGCUCUUAAGAUGCUUUCCUAUCUUGAUACUGCAACUGAGAUUGACAUAAGGAUGGGAACACAAGAACUUGCUUCUCAUCACUCAUCAAGGCAAAACCGCAGUUUGGAUGGUCUAAACUCGGUCAAGCCACCAUCUUCGCAGAAACUGGGCAGAGCAGGUAGUAGUGUAAGUCUUUUGUUUAAAGGGCAUGAGUAUGGGAGUGCUCUGAUGAAAUUCACAUAUGUAGUCUCCUGCCAAGUGUAUGGGCAGCAGAAGGCAAAAGGAGAUCCUCAUGCUGAGGAGAUUUUACAUCUGAUGAAAAACAACGAGGCCCUUCGAGUUGCAUAUGUUGAUGAAGUUCACUUGGGGAGGGGUGAAGUUGAGUAUUACUCAGUUCUUGUGAAGUAUGAUCAGCAGCUGCAGAGGGAAGUUGAGAUUUAUCGGAUCAGAUUGCCUGGUGCCUUGAAGCUUGGAGAAGGCAAACCUGAAAAUCAGAACCAUGCCAUUAUCUUUACUCGGGGUGAUGCAGUCCAGACCAUUGACAUGAACCAGGACAAUUAUUUUGAGGAGGCACUCAAGAUGCGGAAUUUGCUGGAGGAAUUUAAGACUCAUUAUGGAAUUAGGAGGCCAACCAUUUUAGGUGUGCGUGAGAAUAUUUUCACAGGUUCAGUGUCCUCACUUGCUUGGUUCAUGUCUGCUCAGGAGACAAGUUUUGUGACACUUGGACAGCGUGUUCUUGCUAACCCUUUAAAGAUACGAAUGCAUUACGGUCACCCAGAUGUGUUUGAUAGGUUUUGGUUCGUGCCUCGGGGUGGACUAAGCAAGGCGUCUAGAGUUAUCAACAUCAGUGAGGAUAUAUUUGCUGGCUUCAAUUGCACACUUCGAGGUGGCAAUGUGACACAUCAUGAAUAUAUACAGGUAGGUAAAGGAAGAGAUGUUGGGCUGAAUCAGGUUUCAAUGUUUGAGGCAAAGAUUGCAAGCGGCAACGGUGAGCAGGUUUUAAGCAGAGAUGUAUAUCGGUUGGGCCACAGAUUGGAUUUCUUUCGCAUGCUCUCAUUUUUCUACACCACUGUGGGAUUCUACUUCAACACGAUGCUUGUGGUACUGACUGUUUAUACUUUUUUGUGGGGCCGUCUUUAUCUUGCUCUCAGUGGUGUAGAGGGUUACGCAAAGGCCAAUAGUAGCAAUAAUGAGGCCCUUGGCACAAUUCUGAAUCAGCAGUUCCUUAUCCAAUUAGGCCUCUUCACUGCCCUCCCUAUGAUUGUGGAGAACUCUCUUGAACAUGGGUUUCUUCCAGCUGUUUGGGACUUUUUGACAAUGCAGUUCCAGUUGGCUUCAUUUUUUUACACCUUCUCUAUGGGAACUCGUGCCCAUUUCUUUGGUCGGACUAUUCUUCAUGGAGGUGCCAAAUACCAAGCCACUGGACGUGGUUUCGUGGUGCAGCACAAGAGCUUUGCUGAGAACUAUAGACUAUUUGCACGAAGCCAUUUUGUGAAGGCAAUUGAGCUUGGGGUCAUUCUAAUAGUAUAUGCUGCCAACAGUGAUUUGGCUGCAAAUACUUUUGUUUACAUAAUCAUGACAAUUUCUUGCUGGUUCCUUGUGGUAUCAUGGAUAAUUUCCCCCUUUCUGUUCAACCCUUCUGGCUUUGAUUGGCUAAAAACUGUGUAUGACUUUGAAGGCUUUAUGAACUGGAUUUGGUAUAGAGGAGUGCUGGCAAAAGCAGAUCAAAGCUGGGAAACAUGGUGGUAUGAGGAGCAGGAUCAUCUAAGAACUACAGGUCUGUGGGGAAAGCUGUUGGAGAUAAUUUUGGACCUUCGUUUCUUCUUCUUCCAGUAUGGUGUUGUAUAUCACCUGAAUAUUACUAGUGGGAGUACCAGUAUAGCUGUUUACCUGUUAUCUUGGAUAUAUAUGGUUGCAGCUGUUGGAAUUUAUGUCAGCAUAUCAUAUGCUCAGGACAAAUUUGCUGCAAAGGAGCACAUCAAAUAUCGGCUAACACAGCUUAUAGUCAUUACACUUACUAUUCUUGUGAUAGUUCUGUUACUGAAGCUCACAACGUUUAUAUUUCUUGAUCUUGUGAGCAGUCUUUUGGCAUUUAUUCCCACAGGCUGGGGCCUCAUAUGCAUUGCUCAAGUACUUAGACCAUUUUUGCAGUCCACUGUUGUGUGGGAUACUGUGGCCUCCUUGGCUCGGUUAUAUGAUAUGCUGUUUGGGGUGAUUGUGAUGGCUCCUGUUGCAUUUCUAUCAUGGCUGCCUGGAUUCCAGUCAAUGCAGACAAGGAUCCUAUUUAAUCAAGCAUUCAGCAGGGGGCUCCAGAUAUCUCUUAUUCUUACUGGCAAAAAGUCCAAUUGACAGGUGACUCAAGGUAUUUCUUCUAUCUUCUUCUUCUAAUUUAUUUCUCUAGUAUUCCACUUGUUAAAUGCUUGUUAGCUGACAUUAUGUGGUUGAGUUGGAUUAUUUUUUCUGUUUUUGUCUAUUGUUUGAUGUUUUAUUGUUGUAUUUUAAAUUAUGAAAUAGUUCUUGUUUCUUUUUAUUUACUGCUGCUUCAUACAUGUCAUAACAGUUUAUCCAUAAAAAUAUUGAGGAAACCCAAAACUAUUUACAUCUUGUAAAUAUUGCCCUUAAGGAGAAGGAUUGAGUCUCUAGUGAAGAGUCAAAAGUGGGCUGCUUAAGGUUAGCUUUUUAACUAGCUAAUUGCCAUUGGCUUUAAUGGAUUGAACUUGAGCCAAGGUUUGGCUAUUCUGGGAGAAACUUUAGCGUGUUUGAGGUAUGAAUAGGUUGAGUGAGAUUUUUUUCCCAAGCCAAUAUCAAGUUUUAAGAGAAAAGAUUUAAUUGAGCUAAGAAGUAGAUUGCUCAAAUAGACAUUGAACCUGCUGAUGUCAUUGAGGAUUUGCGUAGAUUGUACGUCUGAAUUGCAGUUUGCUCUUUGAUGGCAUGAAGGUUAUGCAAGGAUGAAUUCUGCUGUUGGCACUUGUGGGGCCUGCUGUCUAGAGCUUACAUUAUGGGUGGAUUUUGAUGAAAUAUGGAUUUAUGCGGAAAGUUGCAUCUAAUUGCUGAGUACUUACUGGUGCAAUACUUAACAGACAAAUGGAAUUCUCUGUUGAACUGCAAAAUCCACGAUUCAUAGCAUCAGCAAAGUGAUUGGAAUUUACAUGAUAUUUGGCUUUUCUUUCCUUUUCUCUUGAUGCUUGUUUUACUAGAUUAUGCAUGUGAAGUUGGUAGUAAUAUGAGAAUUAUGUAUUUAUAUAAUUCUUGUGAGGCCUUAUGUCUGUCUGUCUGUCUCUCUCUC